AGGAAGGCUGGGAUUGUAGUUUCCCUGGCGUCUUCUCCAACCCCUCCUCGCCGCUUCUCGCGCCUCUCCUCCGCUGCGAUCGCUGAGCCAAUGGGCUGCGCUCUCCGCUAUGUGUGGCGUCACACGUACAGGUCAAGAUGGCGUCGGCGGAUGGAGCUGAGGUUUUCCCGCGACCUUUACCCUGGUGGGGGGGUGUUACGGGCAGUGGGAAAGCAGCUUCGUGCCGGUAUGGCCGUAUAGGGUUAGGAUCGGAUUCCUCAGCGGCUUGGGAGCAAUUCUAAGCGGCUUCCAGGCCCGCCAGCCGCAGCUGGAGGAGAGAGAAUCCACGCUACGAGACGUGUCACCGUGGACAACGCAGUGGCGCGGACCCGAUCUGGAGGAGGCGCGGAAUUGCAAGUGAAGAAGGACAAUUCGAGCGUUCUCGACUUCGGGUUUCAACCCGUGUCCAGUGGGAAUGCUAGUGCUCUAUCUGUCAGAGGCAAGAAGGCAAAGGCAUUUGUUUGAGGCUCUGCGGCGUGGGACCUCUCUGUACUCCUUGCCUUGCCGGUACAUCUACCAUACUGUCACUGCUGUCAGGGAGGCAAAGUGAGCAUGCCCGCACGUCUUCUCCCGACCCGUGCUGAACAGUCUAAGUAGCGAGGAAAUUCCCCUGCAAUGAAGCAGGUUCAGCGUUGAUUGCUGUCCGUCCAGCCCAAGUGAACAAAGCUUCCUCUUCCAGAUGUCUUUGUUUCUCUCCUUCCCAACUCAGCCCAGCCAGAGGAGCAUCCCAUAAAGGCAUCCAUUUCCUCCCUCCAGACCACAGGCUCAAGCACAGGGAUCAUAUCUGAUUCUGCUCUACAGUUAUGGUACCGAUGGGGCCUGGCACAGCAUAGAGGGUCAACAGAUGCUUGUCGAGAAUGAAGCCUUGAAACAGAGAAGAGAAACUCAUCAGACUAUCUCAGGCUAAUGGCAGAGCCCAGCACAAAGAUGUCAAGGCAGCGAGGCCCUUUGCUGUCCCUGUCACACUCUCAGCACUCUGUCCAAACAGGCUCCAGACACCCUUAUUUCACAGCUUCUGUCUUAAAUGAGUCCACUUCCCAGCCUGUUUUAAUCAUCCUGAUUCCUGGCUCCGGGGCUUGCCUUCUCUUUAUCACCUACCAUCACCUCUUGAUGAUAUAUUACUUGAAGUGGUCAA